AUACUUACCUGGCAAGGGAGACACCGUGAUCAAGAAGGCGGUUCACCCAGGGCGAGGCUCAGCCAUUGCACUCCGGCUGUGCUGACCCCUGCGAAUUUCCCAAAUGUGGAAAUCUCGAUUGCAUAAUUUCUGGUAGUGGGGGACUGCGUUCGCUCUCCCCUG
rnacentral:snRNA from 1 species